rnacentral:lncRNA from 1 species
UUGAUGCAUUCCUAUAUUCCGGAAAACUUUCAGGACAAAUCUUUACACCUUCACAGUGUUCAGAACUUGCCUAUUUCUUUUCAGUUACAGAAAGCGCUGAAAUAGUUCUGACACAAUGCUAUACUGCAUUAGAAGAGAAUGUACAGAGAUUGAUACCUUUUACAUCAGAAGCUCUCAGAGUGUGGCACUGUGAAACGGGACAGACGUGUUGUGAAGACCUGGCCU